rnacentral:rRNA from 1 species
CCUAUCUGCCGUGGGCGCUGGAGAACUGAGGGGGGCUGCUCCUAGUACGAGAGGACCGGAGUGGACGCAUCACUGGUGUUCGGGUUGUCAUGCCAAUGGCACUGCCCGGUAGCUAAAUGCGGAAGAGAUAAGUGCUGAAAGCAUCUAAGCACGAAACUUGCCCCGAGAUGAGUUCUCCCUGAGACUUAGAGUCUCCUGAAGGAACGUUGAAGACGACGACGUUGAUAGGCCGGGUGUGUAAGCGCAGCGAUGCGUUGAGCUAACCGGUACUAAUGAACCGUGAGGCUUAACCUU